AGGUCAAGCGCGAGAUUAAUAAUCAGUCAAGGAGCUACUGUACCACAUAAAGUUGCUAUCAGGUGGGCAUUACUUUCAUAUAUAUCAAAUGAGUUUAAAUGUUACGUUCAAGCAAGUUAUUUCAUGACUAAAUUAAUUGAAGUUAUUUCAAAUAUUGUCUUGCCAUAAAAUGUUUCAAUUUCAGUAUGAUAUCUAUCUGAUGUUACUUUUAUCAUGUAAUCGAAUUCGGGUCUUGAGCAGUUGAUAGCUAUCCUGCCAGGGCUAGUGUACACCAGUGACCGUGAGUCAUCUAGCGGGUUGGCCGGUCAAGUGACCGUGAGAGGUGGCCACCUCUCCGGCACAAAGUUCCAGAUAUGAUAGAUUACAAGAGAACUUAGUCUGAUCAGACGAACUUUAAGAAUCACAAAUGAAUUUAGUAAGCUUGGGCUUAUUUCAUGAAAAACUCCCUUGCUGUACUGUUUAUGAUGGCAUGACAAUUUACAACUUUACGAAGCAUGUUAUAUUUCAUAGUAGGCAUAUGUGCCCACUGAGUACCUUUGUACUCAGCCCUGCAUGUAUUUCUAAAUGUGCAGGUUGAGCAGUAGCCGAUGGUGAUGAAGUGACGAGCAGGAACUUCUUUUGUCUCGACAAUAUAUAUAUAUAUUUUGAAAAACUCUUGGGUACAUGUCUUCAUACAUGUAAUCAGAAACCUUAUUACUUCCGCUGCGUACUCAAAGAAGUCUUAUGUUAUUAUGGC
rnacentral:lncRNA from 1 species